rnacentral:rRNA from 1 species
CGCUUUCACUCCUACGGGAGGCAGCAGUGGGGAAUAUUGCACAAUGGGCGCAAGCCUGAUGCAGCCAUGCCGCGUGUGUGAAGAAGGCCUUCGGGUUGUAAAGCACUUUCAGUCGUGAGGAAGGUAGUGUAGUUAAUAGCUGCAUUAUUUGACGUUUAGCGACAGAAGAAGCACCGGCUAACUCCGUGCCAGCAGCCGCGGUAAUACGGAGGGUGCGAGCGUUAAUCGGAAUUACUGGGCGUAAAGCGCAUGCAGGUGGUUUGUUAAGUCAGAUGUGAAAGCCCGGGGCUCAACCUCGGAAUUGCAUUUGAAACUGGCAGACUAGAGUACUGUAGAGGGGGUAGAAUUUCAGGUGUAGCGGUGAAAUGCGUAGAGAUCUGAAGGAAUACCGGUGGCGAAGGCGGCCCCCUGGACAGAUACUGACACUCAGAUGCGAAAGCGUGGGGAGCAAACAGGAUUAGAUACCCUGGUAG